CCCAUUUCCUAUGUCCAGUGAAUAUUUACUCCUCAAUCAUUUCUUUAGUCUUGAGACAAAGUGCAAGGAGAAAAUUCUGCUCUCAUUGAAAACUUAAUGCUCAGGUGGAGGACACUGCCCUUUUAUGUUCCACUAUACAGAUGGAAGGGCAGCAGUCUACCAGUGUAGCUCUGAUUCUCUUUGCUACCCAAGACAAAACUUCAAGAGAUGAUGUGUCUAAAAUGAGGACCUAGGCUGGAUGCUUUAGUAUUACCAGUGAUGAUACUUAGUAUCCCAGCAAAACAGCUCUCAGACUCUGAGGAUUAAGGUACAAAAUGAACAUAAGAUAUGUGAAGCUAGGGACAAGGGCAAGGGGC
rnacentral:lncRNA from 1 species